rnacentral:rRNA from 1 species
GUGCACCAGUCGCGAAAACUCCGCAAUACGCGGGAGCGUGACGGGGCCAUCCCGAGUGCCGUCCGCUGAGGAUGGCUUUUCCCCAGUGUAGAUAGCUGGGGGGAAUAAGGAGAGGGCAAGUCUGGUGUAAGCCGCCGCGGUAAUACCAGCUCUCCGAGUGGUGGGGACGUUUAUUGGGCUUAAAGCAUCCGUAGCCGGCGGGGCAAGUCCCCUGUUAAAUCUAACGAUUCAAUCGUUGGAUUGCGGGGGAUACUGCUCGACUAGGCGGCGGGAGAGGCCGACGGUAUUCCCGGGGUAGGGGUGAAAUCCUAUAAUCCCGGGAGGACCACCAGUGGCGAAGGCUGUCGGCUAGAACGUGCCCGACGGUGAGGGAUGAAAGCUCGGGGAGCGAACCGGAUUAGAUACCCCCGUAGUCC